rnacentral:rRNA from 1 species
CCAAAAAACCAGGGAGGUAUGGGACUUCGAGAUAUACACUGUUUCAAUCUGGCUUUGUUAGAUAAACAAGCAUGGCAUCUUAUUGAUAAACCUGACUCGUUAUGUGCCACUAUUUUGAGAGCUAAGUAUUUUCCCGAUGGUGAUUUGAUAAGUGCAAGUUUAAAAAAGGGUUCAUCUUUUACUUGGCAAAGCAUUAUGGCGGAUGUAAAUUCUCUGAGAAAUGGCUAUAUCUGGCAAGUUGGAAAUGGGCAAAAUAUCGAUAUUUGGAGAGAUUCAUGGAUUCCACAUGGCGCAAAUAGGAAGAUUAUCGCUCCUAGUAGAGGGUGCCUUCUGUCAAAGGUAUCUGAUCUUAUUGAUCCAGUCGCGAAUUGUAGGGACGGAUAUUUGGUGCGACAAACUUUGUGGCCAAAUGAUGCUCAAAGAGUUCUCGCGGUCCCCCUCCCAAUGCAUAAUAUGUCAAAUUUCAUUGCGUGGAGCUACACAAAAAAUGGUUUGUUCACUGUUCAAUCUGCUUACUUGGAGGAAUAG